rnacentral:pre_miRNA from 1 species
AGAACGCACAUUAAUUAUCCAUGGGGCCAUGGGAUUAACAAAAACCCUGUAAAAACAUGUUAGCACACCAUAGAAUGGUUCUAGAACGAUUACUAACCUAUGUCUUUGAUACCAAUUGAUGGGAAAACCCC